AUGAUAUAGUUGACCAUACUCAAGAAAACAUUCCUCCGCAUAUAGCUACGUUAUCAGAAAGAAAUGUACCUAAUAGGGUACAAAAUAAUACUGAAAAUGGAAGGAAUACACAGGGAGCAAGUGAGGAUGCAGUGAAUAGGAUAGUUCGUACUUAACAAAACAUUCCUCGACAUAUGGCUAGUCGUACGUUAACAGCAAGGAAUUAGUUUUAAUAGGGAACAAAAUAAUCCUGAAAAUAGAAGGAAUAGACAGGGAGCAAGUCGUCAAAAUGUGGACUUGAUAGAAACUCUAAAUAAGAAAAUCAAAACUAGAGGAGACUCCGUUAAAUAAAUAAUAGCUUGCUGUGAGUAUUAUAUAAAACGAGAAUCUCCAGGUGUUGAAGAUCGCAGAAGACGAUAUGAAAUAACAAAUGAUUUAAUGUACUUAGGAGAAGGUAUCAGCGUCUCAAGUGUAAGCUUUUCUUACAUGAGCAAACAAUCAAUAAAUGAAUUUGUAAGUUGGCUUGCGCUAGAGAUUCGGGGAGAAGAUGAUCUAAUGAACAGAGCUUUGCCGAUUGAACGUGUCCAGACAGUUCUUCCUGGAAGAUGUCCGGCUAAACAAAUUGAAACUGAACUUUUAAGAUUAUUUAUAAGUAAGCUAUAACUAUAGGAGGAAUGCUAGAAGAGAACAAAUAUUCCCGUUCAAGAACGUACGGAUGCAUUGCAUAAUUCAGAGAUUUGAAGACAGAAUAUAAAAAGAGUCAUGCUCGAAGAAGACAAGUUAAUUAAUAACUCAAGUUAAUUAUUAUUUGUUUAUUUUGUUCAAUAUGAAAAUGUGUUUAUUUGUUUUAAAAUACCUACGAUGAUGAAAGACAAAGAUGUUAAGUCUAUUUUAAACGGUAUUUUGUUUUAAGGAAGUACUUACUACUACUCUUUGCGAGACUGAUGGAUUUUAUUUGUUCUUUUCCUCGUAAUACGAUAAUCAAAUGGUGUUUGUUGCCUUUCGGCAUUAUUCUCAAUUCUCCUGCUGUUAAAUUAUGUAACCUCGUUAUUUCUUGACGAGUCCCUAACAGGAUUACUCCCUGAUUACAAGGCUCCUGCUUGGAAGAUAGAAAAUAUAAAUAAUUAUUCUUGCGCAUAUACAAUUGCUCCCUGGUUUCUGCAAAGAUUUUUCCAUAACUUUAAGAGCGCUUUUGUAUGUUUAAAUUAUCGAUUUUUUCAUUCGGAGUUACUCUAAUUGACGAUCGAAAUGGCCUUAACGCGUUUUGAUUCUCGACGAGCGAUUCCUGACAUCCUUCUUCCAUCGACUCUUUAACAUAUUCUUCGAUGACCUCAUCGAUGUGCGCACUAUUAUCCUUUUCCUGUCUAGCCUUCCCCACUAAGUCCUUUAGUCUCUCUCUCUCUCUCUCUUGACGUUGGGAGUUUUCUUCCGAGUGUCUCGGUAGUCAGGCCUAUUUAACUUUCCCGCCCUCGUACGCGUCAUCCAAACUUCGGUAAUUUCUGUCCCUCUUUCGUCCGGAAUGGGGACUGGAUUGAUUUAAGUCCUUUCUUUAUUACUUGCAUCUCUGGAGAUAAGCAUCAUAGUGUCCGUCGGUUUCUCUAUCGGAUUUCGCGAGAGUGCGUCGGCAUUAAGAUUUAUUCUCCCUGGUUUUUAAAUAACUUCAAAAUCGUAGUCUCCACCGUGUUGCACGCAAGUCGGGGUCUCAAGAGUCUUUCCACCAACAUAAGGGUAGAUGGUCAGUACAGACGACGAAUUUAGUGCCCAAUAAAUAGUGUCUGAAAUGACGAAUACCGAAGACCAUAGCUAAUGCUUCUCGCGAAUAGGUAUCAUACCGAGUCUCAGUGAGGUUGCUGCAAAAAUACCAGGGUAAUGAAUAAACACUAGAGAUUAUCGGUGAAUGUGUCUGUUCGUAAUUCACAAUAGACUAAAUGUAUGAAAGAGAAAAGGCGUAUUCAAGUGACUUCGGAGGAUGUGUGUUCUAAGUAUCGAUAUUAUCUGAAGUCUCCGAGUCAAAACUACCUGUCUAGUGCUGGAUCGUGAGUGGCGAAAUCGACAAGGAGCGCCCGCAUGCACCCCCCUUUUAUAGACUCCCCGGGUGGUGUGAUUCCUACCCGCGCGGUCGUCCAAAACCGUAGAAUGGAGGUUAUGCUGAGUCGAAAGAAACGGGCUUCGGGGUGAGUCCGUACUGUUGCUAUGCGCGUAUAACUAGCAACGCUGUUGUAUAUACACGUGACACAGUCAUCCUCAUUUUUUAAAGCUAUGUCUUUGUAAAUUCGAAAUGACGAAUGCCGUAUGUAUUUAUUCAUAUCACAAAAUGUAAUCUGCAGAUUCGGUCCAAAUAAAAGGGAUGCUAAAAAUAA